UCAGCCUUUCAGCAUGGUCCAUGCUAGAGCCAUAUUACAUAUUCACUAUGUAUUUGGAGAUAUUUCAAUUGCAGGUGAAAUUUCACGCAAGUCAGUACAAAAGCUUUUAUUUACUUCAGGGGAGUCAGAACUUUACCUACUCGGCCCAGUUUUCUCAUUCUUACCUUCAUUUGCUUUCAUCACUAGCAUUCACAGUGGGGUAAGUGUUGUUUGCAUGCCUCACUUCCCCCCUCAACUAGGCUGUCUGCUGAAUCAGUGGAACUCCAGAUAGCAGAAGCACUGCUUGUAAAAACUGGAUUUACCAAGGAAAGACUAGAGGGUUCAUGGCUUAAUAUCUUAGAGGCAAACCAGGAAACAUGUAACCGCUAGUCUGACCACAGAACGUUGGUAACGUAUCAGUAGAAGCUGACAUUGAAUCUACUGAUUUUUAACAAUAUUCUUUCAUUUUUUUUUCUACAUAAUUUUGUUUUUUAGAACAAAACCACUGGAAGAAAAAAAAGACUAAUACCAAGACUGGGAUUUAUCAAAGUUUUAAGGCUGCAUAUAAGCAUCAGAGAUAUCAUCUGAAGCACUUAAGAAUCUAUUGAAUAAUUGAUAUGCACAGUAAUGACAAGCCACGUUACAAAAGAACAGGGAGGUAAAUGAACAUUGCCUACCUAAAACUAACCUUAAGAAGGAAUCAUGGCUGUUGCUGUAAGCAAUACUAAACACUGGACAUCCAUUCUCUUGGGGUGAAAUUGACUCCAUAUAUUGGUAUUGACAUAAUUCAGUGGUGGAUUUUGAUCUUUAUACAAUUGCCUAAACAAUGAAAGACAUUCUAAGAGAUGCUCCAAUGUAGAAGGGAGAGAAAAAAAAAUUCUGUGAAUGAGUGAAUACUUCAUAAACAAAAUGUUCUUAGGUGGCAAAAGCAACAUAUGUUUAGAACACAAUUCCAAUGUCUCUAUUCAGCGUAAUCUUGGACUUAAGGAAGCAACUCUACUGAAUGAAAAUUUCAAGGUUUUUACAUGAAGAAACUGCCACAUACAAAGACAAAAUCAAGCAUUUUUGAUCGUUUUCCUUUUUUUCAUUCUUAGCAACCAAUACCUCAAAAGUCAGGAGAAUUUCAUGACUCAGCAAGGGUCUCAGAAUUUAGCAUAUCUAAAGCUCAGGCAAGCUGAUACUUUAUACAGACUACAGGAGAAAUGGAUAAUUAGCAAUACUUAGAGUGCUAUGCUGGUGAGCUUUUUUAAAGAAGAAAAUUAGUGCUUUGGUCCUAAAAACAAGGCAACAGUCUUUCAAAAUCCCAACCUAAGCUGACACAAAUAUGAUACAUAGGAAUACAUGCAUGAUUACACUUCUCUCUGAUUUUUGACUUCUGUUCUGGCUCUUUCCGCUUCUUUUCCUCCUCCUUUCUUGCCUUUCCAUUUGCCACUCUCUUGUCUAUAAAGUUUUUUUUGUCUUAAAGUCUCGUAAUGGGGGUAAAAACCCAAGCACAAUUCAAAGCGUGAAUUUAGACACUGAUCUCAUACAGUCUUGGCCCUCAGCUAGCCAUUCCAAAUAACAUGUAAACAGCUUUAGGAAAAGUAAAACAAUGGCCUACAAUAUCAUCUUGUGCUGAAGACCAUUCAAGCUAAGUCAAGUCAGGAGGAGGACAAGGAGGAGGAGAGGAGAGGGAAGGAGGAGGAAAGCUGAGAUGCAAAAAUGGAGAUAGGGAAAGCACGUAUCAGGAACCCAUGGAUUGUAACACAUUCUUUGGAAAAUGAAAGAGGAAAAAAAUUGAGGUCCCUUGCUAGUAGGACAACACAGCGCAGAAAACAAUCUUGUAAAAAAACAGUAUUUAAGCAUGAUGUACAAGUUCAGGCUUUACAAGCUGAUUCAAUUUUUACUUUUACCUGCAGCUGUAUAUUCAGUCUAGCAGGAACUUCAUAGCCACUCCGGAAUUUGGCAUACCUUUUUAUGUCCAAAGUUACAUAUACUGGCUCUUUGGCAACAAAGCCAUCCUAAGGAGUUCUUGCCUUCCUAGCUAGCUGUUCUCUUUAUCCCUUCUCCUCAGCCAUCAAAACUGUUCAUGGAGUUUGGCUGCAAGUCACUAGACUAAACACAUUUUGGGUAAAAACAACCUCACUUAAAAACAAACAAACAAACAAACAAACAAAACUAAAAGAGAUCUUUAAAUCAAAUCAUUUAAUCAUUGAUCUUGCUACAUGAAUGGCUUUCUGAACAGCUGUCUUGCCUGGACUCAGGGAAGGUGGAAAAUUUUCAGCUGAAAGCAAGAACAAGUGGCUGAGGGAUAGAGCAUUCAGCCUCUUGAAACUCACAUUUCUGCCAAACCUCUUGCACUGUGAUGUUGCAUCUAAGAAUUAAACCUUCUUAGAGACAAUCUUGUCUUGACAGAAAAGUAACUACACUAAAUAAAAUACCAUUAGUAAACUUAAAAUAUUUUGUUGGUAUUUAAGUAGUGAAAUAUAAGACACCCAAUAAAUUUUCAUAUCCAAUACUCAUUUUCAUACAUGCUGAAGACAAGCACUAUAAAAAGUAUGCAUCUAAAUCAAGAAUUUUAUCAAUCUCUGAAUUAUUCAUUCUUUUCUAUCUCUUAAAAAAAUUGUUUUUAAAAAUGAAGAUGACAUUUUUCUUUUUUUUCUUCAAAUAUUUGUAAAUAGAAGCUUGUUUCAUACAUCUAAACAAAAUUUAGCCUGGCUAUUGUAGAUUAAUGUUUUACCUCAGGGUUUUCUUAAAGAUCACCAUCAUGAACUACACAUUUGUAUGUGCAGUAUGGUAUACAGAGUAGAGGAAGGCAGGCAAAAGAGGUCUUUCAUAUGAUUCUUUAACAGUCGCCUCUUUUCUCUUCCUUAAAAAUAAUUAGAAUACCUUGUCUACUGGGAAAAGCACUAAUUGGACAUAUCUGCCAUCACUGUGCCAUGUCACAAAGUGAAAAAUCCUCACUAAUGGUUCCUGAAACGCCAGUCCCAGAGACAGCAUAAUAUCUGAGACUAAGCAGGACAACAGAAGUAUCUUCUCACUUUAACUGCAAUAAUAGUUUGAAACUGUUUUUCUUCAGUCCUUGAAUAAACUCCAUGGAAGUUUUUCUGUCUGCUUGAAGUCCUCCCUUUGCACUGCAAACCCACUUACAAUUCUAGUGUUCCAUUUUGGCAAGGUGCUUUCAUAUACAUAAAGUAUUUGUAAUGGAUUUCAAAAAUGGAAAUGUAGAGCAAUAUCAGUAAGAAAAAGUAUUAUCUAAUAGGAAUAAACUUGUUCUUACCUCUUUUCUCAAGGUUGCCCUCAUACCUUCUUAAAUGCUCAUCUUUGGAUUCUAAAAGUAAGAGAAAUAACUCUUUAAGGAAACAAUAACAAAAUGUGUCUACCAUUUGAUGAGCAAAAUUUACCAUAAACUAAAAAGAGGAAAAAUAAGCUACACAGUGUUCUUAUGGUGGAUUUCUAUUUUGCUUACUUCUAACUAAGAACUCAAGGAAUCUGCUUUAGAGAAAUCAAGUCUCUCAAAGGACUAGUGUUAAAAUACUAAACCAUGUAAUACAAAAAGUAAAAUAAUUCAAUAGAAAAACAAGGUACUUGCUGUAUAACUUUAACAGCCUUAAGAAGAGAAUUUUCGUACUGAAAUUUUAUCAGCUCUGCUUAACAUCUCAGGAACUACAGAUAGCCAGAUUGCAAGGAAUACACAUUAUUCAAGUUAUAGCUAUUAAAUCACAAAAAAACAAAAAUCUUCUUGCAUCUGUGAGUGCAAACCUCACAUGAACAUGAGGUUAACAGUAAUUAAAUACUACUUUUGGGAAGAGUCUAUAUUUCACCAUCUAAUCACUAAUACAAAUCUCUAUUAAUACAAAUAUGGCACACAGUUUUUACUCUAAUUUUGUUACCUUGAAGUUACCUGAAUGAAUCUAACCCUGUACCCUGUGGUAACUUCUAACUCUUAGAGGUGAAGUAAUUAACUGCUUCUUUAUCUUCUCUUCUGUGAUUACUUCCCUUUAUUCUUCUAUAGCUUUGAUAGCUUUAUUUUAUCCUAAGUUAGGCUAAAAGCUUUAGGAAGCGUAACUUGUAAAGAGUAAAACGUCUCAUAUGAACAUCCUCCUUAGUCCCUUGGACUGUGUGCUUUUAUGACACAACAUAUUGGUGCCACAGGCCACGAUCAGAGGCCUACAAGUUUGGUGCUUCUUUUGUGAAUUCUGGGCCUAACAUAUUGGUUUCACCUUCUCUUAGUAAAAAAUAAAAGGUUAAUUCCAGAUUGUGAUUUUACAGUACUGACACUUCCUUUAUAGGUGGGGUAUCAUAAAACUCAGAAAAAGCUUGAAUAGAACUACUUUGCAUAGCAACAGAAGUUUGAUCCUGCCACUCUUAAAGUAACUAUGAAGAUCCCUAUGUGACUAAGAUAGCAAUAAUUUCUUAUCCUGCUGAAAAAAAAAGGCGAAAAGGCAAAAGGAUGAUAGCUCUUCUAUUUCAGGUUUCUGAUAUAAGAAUUGAAGGAAAACCUAGCUCAUAAUCUGUGUGUGAGGUCCAAGGUGAAAAACAAUUUUUAGUAUAACCUAUGAUGUUAAUCCUGUUCUGGAUGAAACAAGAAAAAAUUGGAUUUUACAACAGGAGGCUAUCAACAGAGAGCUUAGAGCAUAAUAUGGUGUAUUCAAAGUUAAAGAGUAUCUCCUUCAAUAGUAAGAGACCAAGAACCAUCAGCUGUUAUCACACCUUUUUUUCUCCUACAUGUUAGCAAGAACAAUCACCGGAGCAAACUGCUAGCUUCCACUAACAUCUCUCCCAGUCAGCUUUAAGCUCACUUCAGAGGCAGUAUUUGGCUCAGUGGAGGGCUUCUUUUGUCCAUGGACAAAAUAAAGUAGAUCCACACCUAACCUGUGUCCCAGGAUCACUCUAAGAAAAACCUCCAUAAAUUUAAUUAGACUUGCGAGGAAUGAAAUGAACAGAUAAACAAAACAGAGGGCUAAUUUUAUAUGGAGGCUGCAUAAGAUUAGAUAGAAAAAAGAUUAGGACAACAGAGACUUUUUUUGGGAAAGGCAGCAAGGAUGAAAAACACGUACUGAAUAACAUUUCAAAGGUGUGUAUAUACAGGUGAAAUAAUAAAUUAUUUUUGCAUAUGUUGCUCUUACUCUGAAAUUAUACUCUGAAGUAAAAGCAAAGUAAAACUGAAUAUGAGGCAGAAAGAAUAAGCUGGAUUUGAAACAUGUUUAACAGAUUACCACCUCAUCAUUCUUUUGCCUUUUAGAGAUAUCUUAAAAAAAAAAAAAAAGUUUCUAAAAACUGGCUGUGAAGUGGUCUGAAAUCAUGUUCCUUGCUACUGUAACUCCCCAUGUCCCCUAAUCACAAACCAAAUCAAACAUGACAGCCACCUCCAUUUCUCAGGUCUUCAUGAUUCUUCCUACCCCCAGAAGGCAUUUAACAGUGUACAAAGGCAAGAAGGAAAACACAUUUUGAUGGGACUUCAGUAUUUUUAGCCCUCAAGGCAAAAUUAGGAUUAGAUACCUAGAAAAUGGAAUAUAUCACUAGAGCUGCCUUUGUAUUUCUUCAGACUUCAUAGAUUUACUGACUGGAUGCUGAAGACAAAGUUAAUUUAUCUUCCAGUUUUAAACUGACAGCCUGAAAGGGGUGGGGAGGGAAAUCAAAGGAAUUAUAAGAAUACUCUUAAGAGUAUGACUCACGUUAUAAAGCGAAUGGGGGCUGAGCAGAGAACAUUAAAAUGGGCAAAAGCCUGAUCCUAUAAAGCUCCGAGUGCUCUCAGCUCUUGUUAGCUUCAACAAGAACUGAGGGGGCUCAGGCUCUGGAAGGCUUCAUCAGUCAUCUCCAAGAUCUGGAGAACAAAGCAGUACUAAAACAAAAGUAAAACAGAGUAAGAAAAAUCAUUCAUUCUCCGUAACAGAUCUUCUUUAAAAAAAACAGAUCUAAAAUAAUAUUAAGUGUAUAUACUGGAAAUUACUACUAUCUAUCAGCCUCUGGGUAUCUCUUGACAUGCUGAUGACAAAAAAAAGGAAAAAAAAAAAAAAAAAAAAAAGCCAGCAAGCCUUUAGCUGUUUACAGAUAUCCCAAAGGUCUUGGAAAUCUUCAGGUUCUUUUUCAAAAUAUAGGGUUUUUUGUAGUGUAAAUUCACUGGGCAUAAUUUCCUACUGAUUCUUCCUUAUCUGUCAUUCACUGAAUGAACAGAUAAAUCAAACCUUAUACCAUUACUGCUGUCUAUGUCAAAUGGAUCACUGGACCAUUUGAAAAAUCUUUCAUUCAGACCUGAUUUCCUUUUUUACUUUUUGAGACUUAGAGAUAUUACUAUGUUUUACACACCUGAAGAAGUACCACUAUUUAAGAAACAAUCAAGUCUCAUAUUUCAUCUAUGGAACUAAUUUGUGAGUGUCUUAUCUCCAUGAAGAUGCAACUUCAUGCUCUGAUCAGGAAUACUAAAACAUUAUUAGCAGCUUGAGAUACCAAUGAAUUUUCUAAACUGUAUAUGCUCAUUCCCUAGAGACAGAGGAGAAUACUAUGUUUUUUCUUAUGGAAUUCUAUUCUAUGAAAAGCAAAUGCAACAGGCAGGAUAAUCUAAACACAGAUUUGAAUCAAUUCUUCCACUUAUCUUAAAAAAAGUAGGAAUGCGUACACCUUUGGUAAAUGUCUCAGUUUUUGAUGGUGUGCUGGUUCAUUUAUAAUUAAAUGCAGCAGCGAUCUGACAGCACAUUCAGUUUAGAGUUGUAGGUGUUAAUGUGAUCAGAGAGGACAGCUACUAGCAUCCAACUGAUAAUUCUGGAGAAAGUUGAUAGCUUAAAAGUUGUUUUUAUAGAAAGAAAUUAGAAUCCUUCACGGUUUCCAGAACAGCUGAAAUAUCUGUAAGAAAUCCACCUCCACUACACUUAGACAUGCUUGUAUAGAUCAGUAAUAUACAGGUCAGGAGGAAACACACCUCAUACAGAUUAUCAGCUUCCUGAAGAGGAAACAGUGUAGGUGUUAUGAGAGCAGAAAAGGUGACCAGUCCUGUAUGUUGCUGGAAUAGGGCAUCUCAUAGAUCACCUACUUUCUCAGGGCCCGUCGGCUGGUAUUACACUUGCGAUGAAAGGUUUAUUUGGUUUCCUUAUGUAUUCACUUAAAAAGCAAACAAACAAACAAUUUUUCAAUGAAUUGUAUACCAAGAGAUACUAGAUUUUAAAUCUCUUGCCAACAGUUAGUUAUAUGUGACAUUGGAGCUAAUAUAACUAACUGCACAAUUCCAACAGCUGUGUACAAGCACACUAACACUGCAGAUAAACAAGAGUUAUGUCUUUGAAACUAUUUUCCAUACCAUUCAUGGAACAUGCAAGAUAUUGACUGAAUUCUGAAGUGAUUCAGCAUGGAGAGAUAUUUUUAUUUCCUAAAUAACAUGGCAGGCGUGAACUACCACUGCAUUUCCUGUUUUGUGGGGAAAAUGGUAAAUAAAAAGAUCUGUUUACAGAUGAGACUUCAGAAAGAAACUAAUGCAGAUCUAGAAAGUAGCAAGUGGAAGAGAGAGAUGCUGAGAGUCUAGGUAACCCAAUUAUCACACCUUCUAUGCCAAAACACCUCUUACAAGCAUUACACAUCGUUUUACGUUAACUGUUCAGUGCUGUUCUAUAGAAAUCAGUAGGGGUUAUGAUUUCUAGCAGUAGGAACAGUGUCCUCAAUAGGAGGAGAUGUGGGCUAGAAAUGGAGACCCUACAUGACCAAGAUCACACGAAAGCAGAUGAACAACCUUAAACAGGAGCUUUGUGAUUAGCUGGAUUUAUGACUAUUAGUACUGCAUGUGACUGAAAGCACACAAAAAUCCAAGUAACUGAUUUUGUGUUUGGUCAGUUUUUUUCUUCAGUGUUCACAUCUCUGUGGUUCCACAGUUUUGCAUUGAAGUGUCAGGAGUGCUAGGAUUAUUCUACAGUAGACAGUUAUUCACUGUUGGCCCAGUUCUACUGAGAAUAAAAUCAACCACGGCACAUUCCCUUCAGCUUUAAGGAGAGAAAAACAGGAGCCACAGGAAAGCCAUACUAGUAAAAUAAGUGCCUGCAUUACAACGUAUGAAGCAUGCUCAUGUUCUGCUGAAACUGAAAGGAGUCAAGGACCAUAAGACACUGUUUGCCUCAGUCUAUCUGUUUGUAAAUAGUUGCAAUAGCUCUGAAGUAUUCUGGAAAAAAUAAAGCAUGUAAAGAGUUUAAUAAUAGUGCUAACAAUGCUCAGCUUUAAUAAAAAUCUCCUAUUUCUACAAUGCUUUAAAAUGGAAUUUGGUUCUUCUGGUUUCCUUUUUAUACAUUGCCAUUUAUAAGUUUGAUGCAGUAGUUGCUUCUCCAGCUGGUAUGAUUGCUUGCAAGAAUGAGUUACUCAUGUUUGGAUCCCGAUAUAUGGAGAAUUCUAUCCUUUUUUCCACCCUAAACUCACUUUUUUCCUAGUGAAAGCAAAACUGCCCAACUUUUUUUUUUAAAAAAAACUAGUUUUUCUUAACUAUAUGGCAGCAACAUGAUGACUGUGAACAACCUUUAAACUACCUACAUAUAUACACACGUCUUAAGCUAACCUCCUGGUGCUUUAAAUUUAGUUUAAUUUCAUCCAUAGAAAGGCUGAUUAUUGUAAGAUUAUUUUAAAUUAUAAUAUGCACUGCUGAAAAUACUCGGUGUGUGUGCGUGCGCGCGCAUGUGCGUUGGGAUCGAGGACUGACAAAGAGAAUCCCAUUUCUCUCAUCAGAAGAAUACGGCCAGUGAGAAAGACGUAGCAUGGUAUGCUCUUGUCAGAGAUCACACAUAAACUGCCUAAAACACAGCUUAUAAUCCUCCCACAAUGGGAUAUUUUUACUGUCCUUAAUGAAGUUAGGCAGGUGUUUACAGCUAUGAUGUAUGUCCGUCUAAAGUUGGAACUCAGCACAGACACAAAAUAGCUAUGCUUGACGCACUAGACCAUGACAUACUGUAUGUACUGUAAUUAAAAUAAACUCUACUCCUGAAUAUUUUUUUUGAUGAGGAAACAAGAAAAGCUCUGAAGAUACAUUCUGAUUUGUGGAAAGCUGCAAACUAUUCUGAGAAGUGUUAAAAAAUAUAUAUAUUUGCAGAAAGAAAUAAAAUUAUCUAAAACACC